GGCCAUGACGGUGGGUUUGGUGAAGCGCAUUAAUAAAAGGACCAGGAGGACGAUGCUGAGCAAAGCUAUCACCACCUUACAGGCCGUCAGCUGCCCCUCAAAAUCUGGGAGAUUCUCAACUGGAGACAAACAGACAAUAUUCUCUAAAGUCUUAAUGAUAACAUCAUGCAAAUCUUGAGAAGAACGCCUCUGGAGAGACCUGACCCACCAUCCCAUCUGUGUGGACAGAUAAAAAAAAACAACCUCAAGACAAAAAGAACGUACCAAGGGCGUUUACAGAACAGCAGAGAACGUGAAAAACUGGUUGUGUUCAUCUGGAUAACAAUCUGCUCAGAAUAAUAAGACGUGUAGCAAAUGACCCACUUCAUAACUUUUUUAAAAAAUUGCCAAUGGGGAAAACCAGGGAGCAGAGUAACGUAAAUUCAUUCAAGCCAAUUAUAAAAAAAAUA